UACAGAGGGUGCUAGCGUUGUUCGGAAUCAUUGGGCGUAAAGGGCGUGUAGGCGGUUUGUUAAGUCAUGUGUGAAAUCCCUCGGCUCAACUGAGGAACUGCCUUCGAUACUGUUCGGCUUGAGUCCUGGAGAGGGUAGCGGAAUUCCCGGUGUAGCGGUGAAAUGCGCAGAUAUCGGGAAGAACACCUGUGGCGAAGGCGGCUCUCUGGGACGGUACUGACGCUGAGACGCGAAAGCGUGGGGAGCAAACAGG
rnacentral:rRNA from 1 species